UGAGUCGUCCUUUAACUCAUACCAUUCUGGUCUGAAGGACUCGUACAUACACCACAGAGCCCAGUCAAAGGCGUCCGCAGCAGGAUCAAAUUGAAACAUUGGGCAUCGAAGCUGUUCUGGACGCUUGUGGUGGCCUCAUGUUAACAUGUUGGGUACCAGAGUCAAUGAAAAACACCCCACGACUGUUCCACGACCUCAAA